rnacentral:rRNA from 1 species
CACGUAGGGGGCAAGCGUUGUCCGGAAUUAUUGGGCGUAAAGAGCUCGUAGGCGGUGUGUCGCGUCGGCCGUGAAAACCUGCAGCUUAACUGUGGGCUUGCGGUCGAUACGGGCAUCACUGGAGUUCGGCAGGGGAGACUGGAAUUCCUGGUGUAGCGGUGAAAUGCGCAGAUAUCAGGAGGAACACCGGUGGCGAAGGCGGGUCUCUGGGCCGAUACUGACGCUGAGGAGCGAAAGCGUGGGGAGCGAACAGG